rnacentral:lncRNA from 1 species
AUGGCAAAGGCACUUACCGCUGCUGUGGCACCGUCUCUCUCGCGCCCUGACUCUCAGUCUCUCUCUCCCAUCCUCCUGACAGCCUCAAAUAUAGCAGUCCCUUAUGCUGUUCAGCCUGUGGGGAGCAGAGGAUUGCGGAGUUGUUUUUUUUUUUUUCUUUCUUUCCCCUGCAAUUUUUUUUUUUUUUUAAACCAUCCAGAGGUAGUUCUCCAGAUCCGACCGCCUCUCCUCGCCUCGCUCACUGAUGGAGAGACCCAGCUGUAUACAUUCCUGUCAUUAGGGAUGGCUACCCAGCUGGAUAGAUAGUGGCUUUGCUGCUUGGCCCUGGAGGCUACAGGCUGAGAGGUGGUAUCCUCUGAUGAGAAGAAAUUGCAGCUCCCAGGGAGCAAUCAAGAUGCUGUGGUAGAGAAAAUUGUGAAAAGUUUCAUUUGUUGCUCCAAGUCAAAUGGGGAAGGAUGGACAGAUGCACAGACAAAGUUAGCAGAGAAGCUGCAGUGUGGUGGAGGCUUCUGAGGGCCAACUCAUAAUGGCUCAUAGGGACAGAGAAAACAGCUGUUACAGCCAGCGUGGGAUUUGUUGUUGGAAAGGAAGCAGUCUACAAGGGCAUCAGAGGAAAUGGAGAGUUGUGUGUGUGUGUGUGUUUAAUCUUGUUCUCGAUUUUCAUUAUUUUAAAAAGGUUAAUUUUCUAGUUUGUGUUUCAAUAAAAAUACCUUUUGAACUUCAAAGUAUUUUAGUGCUUUUAUUGAUUUUUUAUUUUUUUUUGGGGGGGGAGGGAGAAUUGUGGAUAUGGAUACAUCUCAGAGCUGCAUCUUAAAGUCCCACUUCAAAAUAUUUUUU